rnacentral:rRNA from 1 species
GAUGAACGCUAGCGGCAGGCUUAAUACAUGCAAGUCGUGGGGCAGCAUGAUGUAGCAAUACAUUGAUGGCGACCGGCAAACGGGUGCGGAACACGUACACAACCUUCCUUUUAGUGGGGAAUAGCCCAGCGAAAUUUGGAUUAAUACCCCAUAAGAUAAUGAGAUGGCAUCAUCUUAUUAUUAAAGCUUCGUCGCUAGAAGAUGGGUGCGCGGCGGAUUAGGUAUGUGGCGGGGUAACGGCCCACCAAGCCUACGAUCAGUAGCUGAUGUGAGAGCAUGAUCAGCCACACGGGCACUGAGACACGGGCCCGACUCCUACGGGAGGAAGCAGUAAGGAAUAUUGGACAAUGGACGCAAGUCUGAUCCAGCCAUGCCGCGUGAAGGAUUAAGGUCCUCUGGAUUGUAAACUUCUUUUAUUUGGGACGAAAAAAGAUCAUUCUUGAUCACUUGACGGUACCAGAUGAAUAAGCACCGGCUAACUCCGUGCCAGCCGCCGCAGUAAAAC